UAAAGAGGGUGCUGCAAAGUC
rnacentral:siRNA from 1 species